rnacentral:rRNA from 1 species
AGAGUUUGAUCCUGGCUCAGGAUGAACGCUGGCGGCGUGCCUAACACAUGCAAGUCGAGCGGAGUUAGAAGAAGAAGCUUGCUUCAUUUUCUAACUUAGCGGCGGACGGGUGAGUAACACGUGAGUAACCUGCCCUCGAGUGGGGAAUAACACCGAGAAAUCGGUGCUAAUACCGCAUAAUGUCAUGAGACCGCAUGAUCUUAUGACCAAAGGAUUUAUUCGCUUAAGGAUGGACUCACGUCCGAUUAGUUAGUUGGUGAGGUAGCGGCCCACCAAGACAUCGAUCGGUAGCCGAACUGAGAGGUUGAUCGGCCACAUUGGGACUGAGACACGGCCCAGACUCCUACGGGAGGCAGCAGUGGGGAAUAUUGGGCAAUGGGCGAAAGCCUGACCCAGCAACGCCGCGUGAAGGAUGAAGGUCUUCGGAUUGUAAACUUCUUUGAUCAGGGACGAAACAAGUGACGGUACCUGAAGAACAAGCCACGGCUAACUACGUGCCAGCAGCCGCGGUAAUACGUAGGUGGCAAGCGUUGUCCGGAAUUACUGGGUGUAAAGGGAGCGUAGGCGGGGAGGCAAGUUGAAUGUUUAAACUAUCGGCUCAACUGAUAGUCGCGUUCAAAACUGUCGAUCUUGAGUGAAGUAGAGGCAAGCGGAAUUCCUAGUGUAGCGGUGAAAUGCGUAGAUAUUAGGAGGAACACCAGUGGCGAAGGCGGCUUGCUGGGCUUUAACUGACGCUGAGGCUCGAAAGCGUGGGUAGCAAACAGGAUUAGAUACCCUGGUAGUCCACGCUGUAAACGAUGAUUACUAGGUGUGGGGGGACUGACCCCUUCCGUGCCGGAGUUAACACAAUAAGUAAUCCACCUGGGGAGUACGGCCGCAAGGUUGAAACUCAAAGGAAUUGACGGGGGCCCGCACAAGCAGUGGAGUAUGUGGUUUAAUUCGAAGCAACGCGAAGAACCUUACCAGGUCUUGACAUCGAGUGACGGUACUGGAGACAGUACUUCCCUUCGGGGCACGAAGACAGGUGGUGCAUGGUUGUCGUCAGCUCGUGUCGUGAGAUGUUGGGUUAAGUCCCGCAACGAGCGCAACCCUUGCCUGCAGUUGCUAACGCGUAAAGGUGAGAACUCUGCAGGGACUGCCGGGGACAACUCGGAGGAAGGUGGGGACGACGUCAAAUCAUCAUGCCCCUUAUGACCUGGGCUACACACGUGCUACAAUGGCCGUAACAAAGAGAAGCGAACAUGCAAAUGCAAGCGGAUCUCAAAAAAGCGGUCUCAGUUCGGAUUGUGGGCUGCAACCCGCCCACAUGAAGUCGGAGUUGCUAGUAAUCGCGGAUCAGCAUGCCGCGGUGAAUACGCUCCCGGGCCUUGUACACACCGCCCGUCACACCAUGGGAGUUGAUAGCACCCAAAAUAUGUGAGGCAACCGCAAGGAGCCAGCAUCCUAAGGUGAGAUCAAUGACUGGGGUGAAGUCGUAACAAGGUAACC